AGUGAACGCUGGCGGUAGGCCUAACACAUGCAAGUCGAACGGCAGCACAGUAAGAGCUUGCUCUUACGGGUGGCGAGUGGCGGACGGGUGAGGAAUACAUCGGAAUCUACUUUUUUCGUGGGGGAUAACGUAGGGAAACUUACGCUAAUACCGCAUACGACCUACGGGUGAAAGCAGGGGAUCUUCGGACCUUGCGCGAUUGAAUGAGCCGAUGUCGGAUUAGCUAGUUGGCGGGGUAAAGGCCCACCAAGGCGACGAUCCGUAGCUGGUCUGAGAGGAUGAUCAGCCACACUGGAACUGAGACACGGUCCAGACUCCUACGGGAGGCAGCAGUGGGGAAUAUUGGACAAUGGGCGCAAGCCUGAUCCAGCCAUACCGCGUGAGUGAAGAAGGCCUUCGGGUUGUAAAGCCCUUUUGUUGGGAAAGAAAAGCAGCAGGUUAAUACCCCGCUGUUCUGACGGUACCCAAAGAAUAAGCACCGGCUAACUUCGUG
rnacentral:rRNA from 1 species